CCCUUAGAUGUUCUGGGCCGCACGCGCGCUACACUGAUGCGUUCAACAAGUUUCCUUGGCCGAGAGGCCUGGGCAAUCUUCUUAAUAUGUAUCGUGAUAGGGAUAGAUUAUUGCAAUUAUUAAUCUUGAACGAGGAAUUCCUAGUAAACGCAGAUCAUCAAUCUGCAUUGAUUACGUCCCUGCCCUUUGUACACACCGCCCGUCGCACCUACCGAUUGGAUGUUCCGGUGAAGCCUCGGGAUGAGGACUGGUGCCUUUAUUGGCAUGAGCUGUUCAGAACUUGUCUAAACCUUAUCAUCUAGAGGAAGGUGAAGUCGUAACA
rnacentral:rRNA from 1 species